rnacentral:rRNA from 1 species
CACAGGGAAUUGCCUCAGUUACGGCGAAGUGAAGCGGCAAGAGCUCAAAUUUGAAAGCUGGCCCCCUCGGGGUCCGCGUUGUAAUUUGCAGAGGAUGCUUCGGGUGCAGCCCCCGUCUAAGUGCCCUGGAACGGGCCGUCAUAGAGGGUGAGAAUCCCGUCUGGGACGGGGUGUCUGCGUCCGUGUGAAGCUCCUUCGACGAGUCGAGUUGUUUGGGAAUGCAGCUCUAAAUGGGUGGUAAAUUUCAUCUAAAGCUAAAUACUGGCCGGAGACCGAUAGCGCACAAGUAGAGUGAUCGAAAGAUGAAAAGCACUUUGAAAAGAGAGUUAAACAGCACGUGAAAUUGUUGAAAGGGAAGCGUUUGCGACCAGACUCGCCCGCGGGGUUCAGCCGGCAUUCGUGCCGGUGUACUUCCCCGUGGGCGGGCCAGCGUCGGUUUGGGCGGCCGGUCAAAGGCCCUCGGAAUGUAUCACCCCUCGGGGUGUCUUAUAGCCGAGGGUGCAAUGCGGCCUGCCUGGACCGAGGAACGCGCUUCGGCUCGGACGCUGGCGUAAUGGUCGUAAAUGACCCGUCUUGAAAACACGGACCAAA